CCUACGGGUGGCAGCAGUGGGGAAUCUUGCGCAAUGGGCGAAAGCCUGACGCAGCGACGCCGCGUGAGGGAUGAAGGCCCUCGGGUUGUAAACCUCUUUCAGCGGGGACGAAGCGAAAGUGACGGUACCCGCAGAAGAAGCCCCGGCCAACUACGUGCCAGCAGCCGCGGUAAUACGUAGGGGGCAAGCGUUGUCCGGAUUUAUUGGGCGUAAAGAACUCGUAGGCGGCUUGGCAAGUCGGACGUGAAAUUCCAUGGCUUAACCGUGGGAAGCCGUUCGAUACUGCUUGGCUAGAGGCCGGUAGGGGGGCGUGGAAUUCCCGGUGUAGCGGUGAAAUGCGCAGAUAUCGGGAGGAACACCGGUGGCGAAGGCGGCGCCCUGGGCCGGACCUGACGCUGAGGAGCGAAAGCUGGGGCAGCAAACAGGAUUAGAUACCCCAG
rnacentral:rRNA from 1 species